rnacentral:lncRNA from 1 species
AGAGAAUUUGUUGUCAGAGGAAGGAUCCCUCCACGGAUUUUAGGUAUCAAACCAGUGAAUUACCUCUUCCUUUCUCCACUUGUUCAUGCCUGAUAUGGUUUCCAUAAUUUUGCAGGGGAGGCAGAUUUAUAUCGUUGGAGAAUUUGUUGAUUUUGUUGUUGUUAGAAAACAAGUAUGCAUUUGAUAUUCAAUUUUGCAUUGCGUUCAAGUUGAUGGAUGAUAAUUGGCAUACAAUGUGCAAGCUUCCUUCAUGGAUUAUAUAACGUAGGCUUCCGGUCGUCCUCCCUUGAUUGGCUUUAAAAGAAAGCUAGUGUGGCUUCAAGAAAGAUUCAGUCCUUAGAUUAGAGUCUUUAAUUACUUAACUUUCUUUUUCGUUCAAAUUCUCC